UACGUAGGGUGCGAGCGUUGUCCGGAAUUAUUGGGCGUAAAGAGCUCGUAGGCGGUGUGUCGCGUCGGCCGUGAAAACCUGCAGCUCAACUGCAGGCUUGCGGUCGAUACGGGCAGGCUGGAGUUCGGUAGGGGAGACUGGAAUUCCUGGUGUAGCGGUGAAAUGCGCAGAUAUCAGGAGGAACACCGGUGGCGAAGGCGGGUCUCUGGGUAGUAACUGACGCUGAGACGCGAAAGCGUGGGGAGCAAACAGG
rnacentral:rRNA from 1 species